GACGAACGCUGGCGGCGUGCUUAACACAUGCAAGUCGAACGGAAAGGCCCUGCUUUUUUGUGGUUCUCGAGGGGCGAAGGUGUGUGUAACACGUGAAUAACCUUCCCUUUACUUUAGGAUAACUUCAGGAAACUGGGGCUACUACCUGCUAGGAGCUCCUGCUGCAUGGUGGGGUUUGGAACGUUUCGGCGGUUGGGGAUGGACUGUGGGCUUACUAGCUUGUUGGUGGGGUAGUGGCUUACCAAGGCUUCGAUGGGUAGUCGGCCUGAGAGCUUGACCGGCGACAAUAGUACUGAGAUACGGCCCAGUCUCCUACGGUAGGCAGCAGGCGGGAAUAUUGCCCAGUGGUCGGAAGCCUGAUGAAGAAACGCCGCGUGCGGGAUGAAGGCCUUGGGGUUGUAAACCGCUUUCGCCUGUGACGAAGCGUGAGUGACGUUAAUGGGUAAAGAAGCACCGGCUAACUACGUG
rnacentral:rRNA from 1 species